GCUCCUCCAGGAAGCAGUUGCUGUGUUUGAAGCUAAUCAACUUAUAUCGCUGGAAAUAACUAUGGCUUUGGCCUCCUUGGCAGUUUUCCCUCUUAGCAAAUUGGCUCUCUGGUUGAAGGUGACAUUUAGUAAAGCCUGUGAGACACAGCAAAGCCUACAGCCUACAGCCUACAGCCUACAGCCUAUGUAGGAAAUCAAGGUGCCACAGCCCAGAAAGCCAAGUGGAGCCUGAGUUGAUGACUUCACCUGCCUCACGCACCUUCAUCCCGCCACUCUUCCAAAGACUGGGGGCCAAUGGUGACUCCUCACCAGACUUAACUGCCUCAGUAUAAAUUUUGUGUGCAGCUCUGACCAUGAAGCAGGGAGGCCAUCGCUUAUAAGAAGCAGUUUAAUGUUAGACAGCCGAGUCCCAAAACCUACGUCAGCAUUAGUCUUGGCUGUCCAUUAUAGGAAAAACACACACUCUACAGCUGCGGCUGCCUCAUCGGUCCAAGAGGGGGAAGUGGAACUACACCUGUUGGAAGAAAGAGCCGCCACUCACGCAUCUUCUGAAGCCUCUUCCAGCUCUCGGAUCUACCACUGGCUCAGAAAAUGCAAGAGGGAAAUUACAUGGCUCAUUGUGGAUCCAUCUGGGGAAACAUGACAUACACAGAGAACAAAGCAUGGAAGCAGAAAGGAGUUAGAAUAACACUUUUACUGUGUUGAAAGAAAGAUCUGUCAAUUCAGAAUUCUGUGUCCAGUGCUGGAAGAAAAAUAUUAUCCAUCAACAAUUACAUAUCCAAGUCCGGGGAGGUUGCUCAAGCUGGUCAAAGCAGGCCCACACAAGCCUGUGGUGAAUCAGAGCCCUGGAGCCUGUGUAAAACGGUGGACGCUGAGGCAAGCAUCUGUAAUCCCAGUGCGCAGUGAAAAGGAAGGCAGACUUAGAAAAAUCUGUCAGGAGCUCCCAGGCCAGGAGUAC